rnacentral:rRNA from 1 species
GGCUCAGGACGAACGCUGGCGGCGUGCCUAAUACAUGCAAGUCGAGCGGAUCUUCUCCUUCGGGAGAAGGUUAGCGGCGGACGGGUGAGUAACACGUAGGCAACCUGCCCACAAGACCGGGAUAACAUUCGGAAACGAAUGCUAAGACCGGAUACGCAAAGCUGAGGCAUCUCGGCUUUGGGAAACACGGUGUAAGCUGUGGCUUGUGGAUGGGCCUGCGGCGCAUUAGCUAGUUGGUGGGGUAAUGGCCUACCAAGGCGACGAUGCGUAGCCGACCUGAGAGGGUGAACGGCCACACUGGGACUGAGACACGGCCCAGACUCCUACGGGAGGCAGCAGUAGGGAAUCUUCCACAAUGGGCGCAAGCCUGAUGGAGCAACGCCGCGUGAGUGAAGGAAGGCUUUCGGGUCGUAAAGCUCUGUUGCCAGGGAAGAAUAAUGACUAGUUAACUGCUAGUUCGAUGACGGUACCUGAGAAGAAAGCCCCGGCUAACUACGUGCCAGCAGCCGC